rnacentral:rRNA from 1 species
AGAGGGACGGGGGAGGUGUGCAUAUUUUAGUGCUUAAUCAUUAAAAAUGUAUAUAUAAUUACUUUCAAAUCCAAUUUCUAAAAAUUUUUAAAAUUACUUUUCCAACAAAUAAAAUUUAUUGUAACCCAUCUCAUUCUUAAAUAUUAACUUCACCUUGAUUUGAUUUAUUUUCUUAUAAAAAAAAAUAAAUAUUAAAUUCUUUUAAAAUAUUUAAUAACAACGAUAUAAAAAUUUCUAUUUUAAGUUAAUUCAAUCGUGGAAUAUCAAUUACUGGACAGGUUCCUCUGAAAAGAUUAAAAUACCGCCAAAUCAUUUAGCUUUAAAGAACUUAACUAUUAAUCACUUAGUUUUAAAAUUUACAUUUUUAAUAAUAGGGUAUCUAAUCCUAGUU